rnacentral:rRNA from 1 species
GAUGAACGCUGGCGGCGUGCCUAAUACAUGCAAGUCGAGCGAACAGACGAGGAGCUUGCUCCUCUGACGUUAGCGGCGGACGGGUGAGUAACACGUGGAUAACCUACCUAUAAGACUGGGAUAACUUCGGGAAACCGGAGCUAAUACCGGAUAAUAUAUUGAACCGCAUGGUUCAAUAGUGAAAGACGGUUUUGCUGUCACUUAUAGAUGGAUCCGCGCCGCUUUAGCUAGUUGGUAAGGUAACGGCUUACCAAGGCAACGAUGCGUAGCCGACCUGAGAGGGUGAUCGGCCACACUGGAACUGAGACCCGGUCCAGCCUCCUACGGGAGGCAGCAGUAGGGAAUCUUCCGCAAUGGGCGAAAGCCUGACGGAGCAACGCCGCGUGAGUGAUGAAGGUCUUCGGAUCGUAAAACUCUGUUAUUAGGGAAGAACAAAUGUGUAAGUAACUAUGCACGUCUUGACGGUACCUAAUCAGAAAGCCACGGCUAACUACGUG